rnacentral:rRNA from 1 species
CAAGACUCCUACGGGAGGCAGCAGUGGGGAAUAUUGCACAAUGGGCGCAAGCCUGAUGCAGCCAUGCAGCGUGUAUGAAGAAGGCAUUCGGGUUGUAAAGUAAUUUCAGCGGGGAGGAAGGCGAUAAGGUUAAUAACCUUGUUGAUUGACAUUACCCGCAGAAGAAGCACCGGCUAACUCCGUGCCAGCAGCCGCGGUAAUACGGAGGGUGCAAGCGUUAAUCGGAAUUACUGGGCGUAAAGCGCACGCAGGCGGUCUGUCAAGUCGGAUGUGAACUCCCCGGGCUCAACCUGGGAACUGCAUUCGAAACUGGCAGGCUGGAGUCUUGUAGAGGGGGGUAGAAUUCCAGGUGUAGCGGUGAAAUGCGUAGAGAUCGGGAGGAAUACCGGUGGCGAAGGCGGCCCCCUGGACAAAGACUGACGCUCAUGUGCGAAAGCGUGGGGAGCCAACAGGAUUAGAUACCCUAGUA